rnacentral:rRNA from 1 species
GGUGAGUAACACUUAGGAAUCUACCUAGUAGUGGGGGAUAGCUCGGGGAAACUCGAAUUAAUACCGCAUACGUCCUACGGGAGAAAGGGGGCAACUUGUUGCUCUCGCUAUUAGAUGAGCCUAAGUCGGAUUAGCUAGUUGGUGGGGUAAAGGCCUACCAAGGCGACGAUCUGUAGCUGGUCUGAGAGGAUGAUCAGCCACACCGGGACUGAGACACGGCCCGGACUCCUACGGGAGGCAGCAGUGGGGAAUAUUGGACAAUGGGGGAAACCCUGAUCCAGCCAUGCCGCGUGUGUGAAGAAGGCCUUUUGGUUGUAAAGCACUUUAAGCAGUGAAGAAGACCAUAUGGUUAAUACCCAUAUGCGAUGACAUUAGCUGCAGAAUAAGCACCGGCUAACUCUGUGCCAGCAGCCGCGGUAAUACAGAGGGUGCAAGCGUUAAUCGGAAUUACUGGGCGUAAAGCGAGCGUAGGUGGCUUGAUAAGUCAGAUGUGAAAUCCCCGGGCUUAACCUGGGAACUGCAUCUGAUACUGUUAAGCUAGAGUAGGUGAGAGGGAAGUAGAAUUCCAGGUGUAGCGGUGAAAUGCGUAGAGAUCUGGAGGAAUACCGAUGGCGAAGGCAGCUUCCUGGCAUCAUACUGACACUGAGGCUCGAAAGCGUGGGUAGCAAACAGGAUUAGAUACCCUGGUAGUCCACGCCGUAAACGAUGUCUACUAGUCGUUGGGUCCCUUGAGGACUUAGUGACGCAGCUAACGCAAUAAGUAGACCGCCUGGGGAGUACGGCCGCAAGGUUAAAACUCAAAUGAAUUGACGGGGGCCCGCACAAGCGGUGGAGCAUGUGGUUUAAUUCGAUGCAACGCGAAGAACCUUACCUGGUCUUGACAUACACAGAAUCUUGUAGAGAUACGAGAGUGCCUUCGGGAAUUGUGAUACAGGUGCUGCAUGGCUGUCGUCAGCUCGUGUCGUGAGAUGUUGGGUUAAGUCCCGCAACGAGCGCAACCCUUGUCCUUAGUUACCAGCGGGUUAAGCCGGGAACUCUAAGGAUACUGCCAGUGACAAACUGGAGGAAGGC